AGCAGAUUCUCGAGAGGAGAUAUCCUUUUAGAGAAAUCCCUUUGGAGGAUCUCUGGUGAGGAUCACUUGGGAAGAAUCUCUUGAGAAAGGCUCUGGAGAAGGGAAGCUCUUGGAGGACAAUCUCUAAGGAGGUCUCACUGGAGCUCUCUCUGGUGAAGUCAGCUGAGAUGGAGCUGGCCUGAUGUCACUAGAAUCCUUGUUUAGGCAGACCUUGUGGUACCUUUUGGUGGUGGAGAAUUGGUUGGUGGCAAAGUGUGGGCCUUUUGGCAUCUUGACAUGGCUACAAGCUAUUUCCCGGAUCAGUGGUGAGUUUCUGGCUGAGUUUUUCCUCCUUUACUUUCCAAACUUAUCCUCUUAGAAGCCUCUAAUCUCCUUCAGAGAACUAGCAGCAGAAAUCUUGAACUCCCCCUGGCACAGGCCAGGCGGGAGAAAUCCUAUACCCUCUUCCCUCUUUCUCUUUAAAUCCUUCCCUCUAUAUUAAUUAAAAUUACCAUAAAUUUCCAGACUGACUUGGGUAUUUUAUUUGGGAUUUUUUCCCUGGCAACCAAUUAAUUAUUUUUUUAUUUUUUUAAACAUUAUUUUAUUUGGUCAUUUCCAAACAUUAUUCAUUGGAAACAAAAAUCAUUUUCUUUUCCUCCCUCCCCUCCCAC
rnacentral:lncRNA from 1 species